CUAGGGGUGAACCGCAAUUAGCUAAAAAUUAACAGUGGGUGACUAAUUCAUAGCUACUCUUCCCAGGAAACCAUUCAUGGCCAAGAACUGGUCCUCUACCUGACAUUUUUUUCAUUUUUUCAUUUUUUCAAAAUUAUCUAUUAAUUUGCUUUGGUUAACCGGUGUCUGUUCGAAAUCAACCGAGGUCAGAUAAUCAAAUAGCUAGCCAUAAUGGCAGAACUUGUCGAAGAAACAAGCCAUGAAGAAACGAGGGAUGACGGUGGCGCCUUUGCCGAUUUAGCAGAGGCAAACCCGAAUUUUCUACUUGAGCUCAACCUCCUUAUAAUGGUUCUUUCCUUGGUAAAUUCAUUAUCUUCGGAAGAUUGCUUAAAUUAUGCAGAGAGAGAGACAGGAAAUUUCAGAGAUCAAGAAGAGCAGCAGGCCUGCAUGUCAAGAUUGCACUCGAGAAGACAUGACAUAAACGAAUUCAAGCUUGCAGGAAGGCGAGCACAAAGAUUUCAACAAAUGAUAAAGGAUUGCAGGCAUGGCAGAAGGAUGUGAGGGCCUGGAAUAUUAUCAGAAGAAAGGGGUGGCAAGCCCCCAACAACAAUGGAAGGAACUCCUUCCUUAAUCUUCUUCAAACUAAUUACCGUUCUCCUGAUAUUGCUGUUAAGAUUACCUCUACUGCAGCAUACACAAUUUUCUUGUAACAAUUUUGAUCUCAUAAAUGAAUGAUUGUAUAACUAUCAGAUAAUAUUAAUGAUCAAUACACAAUUUCCUUAAUAUUAA